rnacentral:rRNA from 1 species
UACGUAGGAGGCGAGCGUUGUCCGGAUUUACUGGGCGUAAAGCGUGCGCAGGCGGUUUUGUAAGCCAGAUGUGAAAGCCCCGGGCUUAACCUGGGAAUGGCAUUUGGGACUGCAAGGCUUGAGUGCGGCAGAGGAGACUGGAAUUCCUGGUGUAGCAGUGAAAUGCGUAGAUAUCAGGAGGAAUACCGAUGGCGAAGGCAGGUCUCUGGGCUGACACUGACGCUCAUGCACGAAAGCGUGGGGAGCAAACAGG